GCGAAGGUGGCGGAAUUGGUAGACGCGCUAGCUUCAGGUGUUAGUGUCCUUACGGAUUCAGGUGUUAGUGUCCUUACGGACGUGGGGGUUCAAGUCCCCCCCCUCGCACCA
rnacentral:tRNA from 1 species